GGUGGUUCUCAGGUGACACACCCUGUAAUUGGGCUCCCUCCUCUCUGGUUCCAGGUGCAUUACCCCAGAACCACA
rfam:Myotis brandtii contig184665, whole genome shotgun sequence.